rnacentral:misc_RNA from 1 species
GAUGAAGAACGUAGCGAAAUGCGAUAAGUAAUGUGAAUUGCAGAAUUCAGUGAAUCAUCGAAUCUUUGAACGCACAUUGCGCCCUCUGGUAUUCCGGGGGGCAUGCCUGUUCGAGCGUCAUUACAACCCUCAAGCUUUGCUUGGUAUUGGAGAUUGCCAGUUUCUGGCAGGUCUUAAAAUCAGUGGCGGUGCCAUUUGGCUUCAAGCGUAGUAAUUCUUCUCGCUUUGGAGAUCCAAGUGGUUACUUGCCAAUAACCCCCAAUUUUUUCAGGUUGACCUCGGAUCAGGUAGGGAUACCCGCUGAACUUAAGCAUAUCAAUAAGCGGAGGA